UACGGAAGGGGCUAGCGUUGUUCGGAAUCACUGGGCGUAAAGCGCGCGUAGGCGGCCGGUCGAGUGAGGCGUGAAAGUCCUGGGCUCAACCCGGGGACGGCGCUUCAGACUGUCCGGCUGGAGUCCGGGAGAGGGUGGUGGAAUUCCGAGUGUAGAGGUGAAAUUCGUAGAUAUUCGGAGGAACACCGGUGGCGAAGGCGGCCACCUGGCCCGGUACUGACGCUCAAGCGCGAAAGCGUGGGGAGCAAACAGGAUUAGAUACCCUGGUAGUCCACGCCGUAAACGAUGGGUGCUAGAUGUCGGGGGGCUUGCCCUUCGGUGUCGUAGCCAACGCGUUAAGCACCCCGCCUGGGGAGUACGGCCGCAAGGUUAAA
rnacentral:rRNA from 1 species